GAUGAACGCUGGCGGCGUGCCUAAUACAUGCAAGUCGAGCGAACAGACGAGGAGCUUGCUCCUCUGACGUUAGCGGCGGACGGGUGAGUAACACGUGGAUAACCUACCUAUAAGACUGGGAUAACUUCGGGAAACCGGAGCUAAUACCGGAUAAUAUAUUGAACCGCAUGGUUCAAUAGUGAAAGACGGUUUUGCUGUCACUUAUAGAUGGAUCCGCGCCGCAUUAGCUAGUUGGUAAGGUAACGGCUUACCAAGGCGACGAUGCGUAGCCGACCUGAGAGGGUGAUCGGCCACACUGGAACUGAGACACGGUCCAGACUCCUACGGGAGGCAGCAGUAGGGAAUCUUCCGCAAUGGGCGAAAGCCUGACGGAGCAACGCCGCGUGAGUGAUGAAGGUCUUCGGAUCGUAAAACUCUGUUAUUAGGGAAGAAAAAAUGUGUAAGUAACUAUACACGUCUUGACGGUACCUAAUCAGAAAGCCACGGCUAACUACGUG
rnacentral:rRNA from 1 species